rnacentral:lncRNA from 1 species
UUAAGGUGGUACCUAACACUACAGGGAGAUAACUCUGUAAAGUCAGCUAAACGUUUUAAUUACGUUGUGUUGUAAAAGGAAUAUUAAGCUUCUCAAUGAUCAAAAUUGGUGUUUGUCAAAUUGCUAUAUAACCAGUGUAAUUUUUCUGACAAAACGGUUGGUUCAAAAAUGUUUAAAUUUAUAUAUUUUUAUUAAAGUCUCAAAGUAAAUACUUUGACAAAAUUUUAUGAAAAUUAAACGAGC